AGCAUAUGUUGGUUUUUUCACCAGGGUUAGCUUUCUGCUAACUAGCCUAACAGUUUGUUUUCGCUUGAUAUUCCAUCCAAAUACAAAGAAGCACUCCAUAUUAAAUGUUUUGUUCGAGGGCAAACGUUAAUUUAGAGCUUAAAACGCUUUAAAAUAAGACAUUUAGUUUAAAUAUGCGUCGACAACAAAGACAUUUAGUUUAAAUAUGCGCUGACAAAACAAAACCGAGUAGCCAAAGCAAAUGCGAAGAUUAGCCUAUUAUUUCAAACACUGCUUCUGUAGGUUCACAGAAAUUGAACAAGAAAUAAGGCCAUGUGUUAUGGUAAAACUAGGCCAGUAGAACACUGAUGUCUAUAUGAAGAGAGGAAGUGCAAACAUAUUCCAGGAUCUGAUAUAAAUUGGGAGUAGAAACACUAAGGGGUUUUGUGUAUGAGGAUGCAACACUGUGGUCGUCUAGUUCUGGCUACAAGCUUU